AGCGAACGCUGGCGGCAGGCUUAACACAUGCAAGUCGAACGGGCGUAGCAAUACGUCAGUGGCAGACGGGUGAGUAACGCGUGGGAACGUACCUUUUGGUUCGGAACAACUGAGGGAAACUUCAGCUAAUACCGAAUAAGCCCUUACGGGGAAAGAUUUAUCGCCGAAAGAUCGGCCCGCGUCUGAUUAGCUUGGUGGUGAGGUAACGGCUCACCAAGGCGACGAUCAGUAGCUGGUCUGAGAGGAUGAUCAGCCUCAUUGGGACUGAGACACGGCACAAACUCCUACGGGAGGCAGCAGUGGGGAAUAUUGGACAAUGGGCGAAAGCCUGAUCCAGCCAUGCCGCGUGAGUGAUGAAGGCCCUAGGGUUGUAAAGCUCUUUUGUGCGGGAAGAUAAUGACGGUACCGCAAGAAUAAGCCCCGGCUAACUUCGUGCCAGCCGCCGCCGUAAGAC
rnacentral:rRNA from 1 species